rnacentral:tRNA from 1 species
GGGAGGAUGGCCGAGUGGUUAAGGCGGUAGAUUUAAGACCAGCUCGUUUCGCAUGGAAAAACUCUACUUUCGAAAGAAUCGUGGGUUCGAACCCCACUCCUCUCA